UGGGGUGUAGCUCAGUGGUAGAGCGCCCGCCUCACAAGUGGGGGGCCCAGGGUUCGAUCCUCAGCACCACAC
rnacentral:tRNA from 1 species